GCUUUCGUGGCUCAGCCGGUAGAGCGUUGGUCUCAUAUUCAUGUAUAUGAACUUGGAGUUUAACUUCGAGAGAUAUCCAAAGGUCCAGAGUUCGAGCCUCUGCGAGAGCA